ACUCAGUGUCAUCAGCAAAAGCAUUAGGGUUGCCAAGUCCGGUGCCAAGCAAAGAAACCGUCAAGCUUAAGCCUUUUUGAAGUACUGAAGAGGUUUAUUAAGUUGUUUUUUGUUCAAGUCGAACCUUAACACUAUGCUAUGCUUAUCCUUUUCAAAAGAAGUUAGAACUUUUUUUUAUUUAUUAUGCUUUUGGUUUCUGGUGUGCUUGUGUUGGAUCUUUUUUUUAUCAAAUCAAGGAUUUGAUCAUGUGAUAUAUUUAUUCUGUUUGACUGAGAACGAAAUAUCCAUGAAGCUCAUUUAGGAGAUAACUUCUGUGAGAUUAACUGUGGUCUUGUAAGUGGUUUCCUUCCUGCUGUUUCUGUUUUUGUUUCUUGACAUGAAUCAUUCAAAGAAGUUGGUUUUGUUUGACAGGGUCUAGGCCUGAUGAAGGAGAAACUAGAAAUCAAAAUCAUGGCGAAAGUAAGCAAAGGUGGGAAACAGAGUUUGUUGAUUCGACAGAUGCUGCACGUGCUGCUGCUGAAGCCGCUGAGAGAGCAAGUCUCUCUCUCUCUCUCUCUCUCUCUCUCUCUCUCUCUCUCUCUCUCUCUCUCUCUCUCUCUCUCUCUCUCUCUCUCUCUCUCUCUCUCUCUCUCUCUCUCUCUCUCUCUCUCUCUCUCUCUCUCUCUCUCUCUCUCUCUCUCUCUCUCUGAACUUUCACGGUGAGCGUUUAGAUCCAAUCUCAAUUGUACAUUGAUCUGUUCUUGUCUGUAUUGUUGAUUUAGUUAUUCGUUUAUAUUUCGAUUGGUUUGGUGUUACUUAGGUACGUUUUGGAAAUGGCGACAGUACCAGGACAAUUGAUAUGGGAGAUCGUUAAGACCAACAACUGUUUCUUGGUCAAACAGUUCGGAAGAGGCAACGCCAAGGUUCAGUUCAGCAAAGAGAAGAACAAUCUCUGCAACCUUAACUCCUACAAGCACUCUGGUAAAGAUCCAUUCAUCUUUUGCUCUCUUGUCUAUCGAUUGGAUAUUACUGGUAUUGGAACUGAACUUGUUGUUUUGUUUAGUGUAUGUAUGGUCGUAUCUGUCUGAAUUAGAAAUGUGGCUACUUUAUAUUAAAAUUGGAAGGUUCACAUAAAAAUAUGAUUACUACUUAUUUACUAAAAAUAUACGUGUGACUGAAAUUUGAAAAAAAAAAAUUAAAAACUUUUUGUUUAGUGUCUAAGGAUUUAUUAUCUGAUACAAAUUUUGAGUUGGGUGCUUGAGCUGGACUAAUGUCUCAAUCUUUUGUCUUGGGUUCAGGUCUUGCAAACAAGAAGACAGUGACCAUCCAGCCAGCUGACAAGGAACAAGGUGUUGUUUUGGCCACCACCAAGACCAAGAAGCAGAACAAGCCUAAGGUCUCUGUCAACAAGUCUAUCCUUAAGAAGGAAUUCCCCAGGAUGUCCAAGGCUGUCGCUAACCAGGUAAUUUUGUAUCUCAACUAGUUUCUAUGUCUGUUGUGCUAAUAGGUUGCUGUUUCUAGUUAUUGGUUAUUUACAAUUGUUCUUUGUUCUACUUGUCUUCUUGUGAGUGGAGAUUUCAUGUGUAUAUGUAAUGGUAACAUGGCUUGAUAGUAGAGGUGAUGAUAACUUUUGUGUCAUAUAGACAUUUAAUAAUGCCUACUUGUAGUGGCUUUACAUGUGUUCAUUUUGUCAUAAUUGGGUUAAUUUGUGUGAAAAUGAUUCAGGUGGUUGACAACUACUACAGGCCAGACUUGAAGAAAUUCGCUCUUGCUAGACUCAGUGUCAUCAGCAAAAGCAUUAGGGUUGCCAAGUCCGGUGCCAAGCAAAGAAACCGUCAAGCUUAAGCCUUUUUGAAGUACUGAAGAGGUUUAUUAAGUUGUUUUUUGUUCAAGUCGAACCUUAACACUAUGCUAUGCUUAUCCUUUUCAAAAGAAGUUAGAACUUUUUUUUAUUUAUUAUGCUUUUGGUUUCUGGUGUGCUUGUGUUGGAUCUUUUUUUUAUCAAAUCAAGGAUUUGAUCAUGUGAUAUAUUUAUUCUGUUUGACUGAGAACGAAAUAUCCAUGAAGCUCAUUUAGGAG
rnacentral:lncRNA from 1 species